rnacentral:rRNA from 1 species
AAUCCAUAGGUUAAUGAGGCGAACCGGGGGAACUGAAACAUCUAAGUACCCCGAGGAAAAGAAAUCAACCGAGAUUCCCCCAGUAGCGGCGAGCGAACGGGGAGGAGCCCAGAGCCUGAAUCAGCAUGUGUGUUAGUGGAAGCGUCUGGAAAGGCGCGCGAUACAGGGUGACAGCCCCGUACACAAAAGCGCAUGUGCUGUGAGCUCGAUGAGUAGGGCGGGACACGUGGUAUCCUGUCUGAAUAUGGGGGGACCAUCCUCCAAGGCUAAAUACUCCUGACUGACCGAUAGUGAACCAGUACCGUGAGGGAAAGGCGAAAAGAACCCCGGCGAGGGGAGUGAAAAAGAACCUGAAACCGUGUACGUACAAGCAGUGGGAGCACCCUUUGGGUGUGACUGCGUACCUUUUGUAUAAUGGGUCAGCGACUUAUAUUCUGUAGCAAGGUUAACCGAAUAGGGGAGCCGGAGGGAAACCGAGUCUUAACCGGGCGUUAAGUUGCAGGGUAUAGACCCGAAACCCGGUGAUCUAGCCAUGGGCAGGUUGAAGGUUGGGUAACACUAACUGGAGGACCGAACCGACUAAUGUUGAAAAAUUAGCGGAUGACCUGUGGCUGGGGGUGAAAGGCCAAUCAAACCGGGAGAUAGCUGGUUCUCCCCGAAAGCUAUUUAGGUAGCGCCUCGUGAAUUCAUCUCCGGGGGUAGAGCACUGUUUCGGCUAGGGGGCCAUCCCGGCUUACCAACCCGAUGCAAACUGCGAAUACCGGAGAAUGUUAUCACGGGAGACACACGGCGGGUGCUAACGUCCGUCGUGAAGAGGGAAACAACCCAGACCGCCAGCUAAGGUCCCAAAGUCAUGGUUAAGUGGGAAACGAUGUGGGAAGGCCCAGACAGCCAGGAUGUUGGCUUAGAAGCAGCCAUCAUUUAAAGAAAGCGUAAUAGCUCACUGGUCGAGUCGGCCUGCGCGGAAGAUGUAACGGGGCUAAACCAUGCACCGAAGC